CAACCCUUAAGCUCAGCUUAGUGUUGGGAAUCUACCGUGAGCGGUGUUACCCGGUACCUACCCUAUAACGGGGCAGGUUACCCUGUAGCUACCCUGUAGUUCCUCAAAUCCAACGGCGGAGUCAUAGUCAUCUCUGAGCGCAGUAAUUUUUAUCACGCUUUUGAAGAUGCUAUAACCCUUGCCGCUAAACCCCCAAUUUUUUAAUGG
rnacentral:misc_RNA from 1 species